AUUUAUGGCCAUGCCACCCUGAACAUGCCUAAUCCUGUCUGAUCUCGGAAGCCAAACAGGGUUGGGCCUGGUUAGUACUUAGAUGGGAGACCACCUAGGAAGACCAGGUGCCGUAGGCA
rnacentral:rRNA from 1 species